rnacentral:tRNA from 1 species
UGGCAGGUAGCUUAAUCGGCAGAGCGUCUGAUUGUUAAUCAGAAGAGUGUCGGUUCGACUCCGACCCUGCCAGCCA